UUUUGAAUUAUUGGGGGGAAAAAAUUAAAAAUAAUUUUUCAAAUUUUUUUAUUUUUUUUUUGACUUUUUUUUUUUAUUUGGCAAAAUUUUAUUUUAUUUUUUUUUUGAUUUUUUUGCAAGAUUUUAUUUAAAAAAAAAUUUGGCAAAAUUUUAGUUAUCCCCGGGUGAACAAGGGUGGGGUGUUAUUUACACCGGGGUAAUUAACCAAUCAGAUUGCAGUAUUUC
rnacentral:lncRNA from 1 species